GACGAACGCUGGCGGCGUGCUCAACACAUGCAAGUCGAACGAUGAAGCCGGAGCUUGCUCUGGUGAAUUAGUGGCGAACGGGUGAGUAACACGUGAGUAACCUGCCCUUGACUCUGGGAUAACUGCGGGAACCUGUAGCUAAUACCGGAUACGACCCUCGGAGGCAUCUCCUGGGGGUGGAAAGAAUUUCGGUCAAGGAUGGACUCGCGGCCUAUCAGCUAGUUGGAGAGGUAAAGGCUCACCAAGGCGACGACGGGUAGCCGGCCUGAGAGGGUGACCGGCCACACUGGGACUGAGACACGGCCCAGACUCCUACGGGAGGCAGCAGUGGGGAAUAUUGCACAAUGGGCGCAAGCCUGAUGCAGCAACGCCGCGUGAGGGAUGACGGCCUUCGGGUUGUAAACCUCUUUUGGCAGGGAAGAAGCGAAAGUGACGGUACCUGCAGAAAAAGCACCGGCUAACUACGUGCCAGCAGCCGCCGUAA
rnacentral:rRNA from 1 species